rnacentral:lncRNA from 1 species
UGAAAACUCACCAUGUAAAUGAGUGAUCAGAAAUACAUACUAUUCUUGUAAAAUGGCUCAAAAUACCUGAUUACCUGUCAGUGUUAACAUCUUUUAAAAUAGUAGUCAUGGCCUACACAAGAUGCCUAGGUGUUUAUCUAUGUCAUGUGUGGAUAGCACCCAGAUAAAUCUCAGGAAAAAUGUAUAUGAAAUGGUCAGUGUGUUAGCGAUUAUUGAUAUGGAGUGUUCACCUGAAUGGUGAGCAUGAACAGAAGCAUGCUUGUGCCAACAAAGAAGAAAGAAGCUCACCUGGAUGUAGCUCAGCUGGCAAGUCCUGAAUAUGAAUAUCCAUGGAGCACUUAGCAAGAGUUAAAUUAGAUUUGGUUCCAAAACAAACCAUAUGCACCAAGGAUAGUGAGCAACUCCGUGCCAAGUACUUUGAUGUGAUUGAGAAGACUCAGAUUGGAAGGUCUGAGACUUAAUAAUAAUGCAUUUGCUCCCUACUGAAGUCUCUCUUACAUCUGUUGGGGGAAAAGCUGCCUCACGGCUCUUGCUUGAGAUGUUAAAGCAAAACUUCACCAGAUACAGGAAUGUGAGGGCAGCCUGCUACCUCAUGUCAGCAUCCAUUAUAAGGCACCAUGCAAUGUGACAUGACACGGUAUGACAGAUGCAAUCCAACCCAAUAUGGCACCUGUGAAGUCAUUGCAGAUGAGGGAGUUAGAGCUCAUGUGCUCUCAUAUCUUAGCAAAGAAAUAUUGGAGAAAUGCUCAGGUAUUUUGUUUUAGUUGUUUCUAUCAACCUAAUUUUUAAAGAAACAAUAUGUGCUCGAUUUAUUUUUCUCAAAAUUCUCAAAGGAAUCGAUAUGGUUAAGUAAAACUAGCAAUCUUCAUUUCAGCUGUCAUUUCUCCCCAGAUAAUAUUUCACACGCAGAGGAUAAAAUUAUUCAAAGUAAAAUGGUAAUAAAAUCACAGCUUUACAUUCUGAACA